rnacentral:rRNA from 1 species
GAUGGCGAGUGGCGAACGGGUGAGUAACGCGUAGGAAUAUACCUUGAAGUUGGGGAUAACUUGGGGAAACUCAAGCUAAUACCGGAUAAUGUCUGAGGACGAAAGCUGGGGACCGUAAGGCCUGGCGCUUUAAGAUUAGCCUGCGUCCGAUUAGCUAGUUGGUGGGGUAAAGGCCUACCAAGGCGACGAUCGGUAGCUGGUCUGAGAGGAUGAUCAGCCACACUGGGACUGAGACACGGCCCAGACUCC